rnacentral:rRNA from 1 species
CCCGCCAAAGACGGUAACAGCCCGGUAGUUGAAAUAGCUUUCCCUCCAGAGUGGAUCCUGAGUACGGCGGAACACGUGAAAUUCCGUCGGAAUCCGGGAGGACCAUCUCCCAAGGCUAAAUACUCCCUAGUGACCGAUAGUGAACCAGUACCGUGAGGGAAAGGUGAAAAGCACCCCGGAAGGGGAGUGAAACAGUUCCUGAAACCGUGUGCCUACAAGUAGUUAGAGCCCGUUAAUGGGUGAUAGCGUGCCUUUUGUAGAAUGAACCGGCGAGUUACGAUUUGUUGCAAGGUUAAGCGGAAAAAGCGGAGCCGUAGCGAAAGCGAGUCUGAAUAGGGCGCAUAAGUAACAGGUCGUAGACCCGAAACCAGGUGAUCUACCCAUGUCCAGGAUGAAGGUAAGGUAAUACUUACUGGAGGUCCGAACCCACGCACGUUGAAAAGUGCGGGGAUGAGGUGUGGGUAGCGGAGAAAUUCCAAUCGAACUUGGAGAUAGCUGGUUCUCUCCGAAAUAGCUUUAGGGCUAGCCUCGAGGUAAAGAGUCAUGGAGGUAGAGCACUGUUUGGACUAGGGGCCCUUCUCGGGUUACCGAAUUCAGAUAAACUCCGAAUGCCAUGUACUUAUACUCGGGAGUCAGACUGCGAGUGAUAAGAUCCGUAGUCGAAAGGGAAACAGCCCAGACCACCAGUUAAGGUCCCCAAAUAUAUGUUAAGUGGAAAAGGAUGUGGGGUUGCUUAGACAACCAGGAUGUUGGCUUAGAAGCAGCCACCAUUGAAAGAGUGCGUAAUAGCUCACUGGUCGAGUGACCCCGCGCCGAAAAUGUACCGGGGCUAAACAUAUUACCGAAACUGUGGAUGAACCUCUUCGGAGGUUCGUGGUAGGAGAGCGUUCUAAGGGCGGUGAAGUCAGACCGGAAGGACUGGUGGAGCGCUUAGAAGUGAGA